rnacentral:rRNA from 1 species
AAAGGGAGCGCAGGCGGUUUGUUAAGUCUGAUGUGAAAGCCCAGGCUCAACCCGUGGAACGGCAUUGGAAACUGGCAAACUUGAGUAUAGAAGAGGAAAGUGGAUUCCAUGUGUAGCGGUGAAAUGCGUAGAUAUAUGGAGGAACACCAGUGGCGAAGGCGACUUCUGGUCUAUAACUGACGCUGAGGCUCGAAAGCGUGGGGAGCGAACAGGAUUAGAUACCUGGUAGUCCACGCCGUAAACGAUGAGUGUUAAGUGUUGGGGGGCUUUCCACCCCUCAGUGUGGCGUUAACGCAAUAAACACUCCGCCUGGGGAGUACGACCGCAAGGUUGAAACUCAAAGAAUUGACGGGGACCCGCACAAGCGGUGGAGCAUGUGGUUUAAUUCGAAGCAACGCGAAGACCUUACCAGGUCUUGACAUCUCUUGCAUAGCCUAGAGAUAGGUGAAACCCUUCGGGGCAAAAGACAGGUGGUGCAUGGUUGUCGUCAGCUCGUGUCGUGAGAUGUUGGGUUAAGUCCCGUACGAGCGCAACCCUUAUCAUUAGUUGCCAGCAUUUAGUUGGGGACUCUAAUGAGACUGCCGUGACAAACCGGAGGAAGGUGGGGAUGACGUCAAAUCAUCAUGCCCCUUAUGACCUGGGCACACACGUGCUACAAUGGAUGGUACAGCGAGCAGCGACCCCGCGAGGGCAAGCGAAUCUCCAAAGCCAUUCUCAGUUCGGAUCGUUCUCUGCAACUCGAGAGCGUGAAGCCGGAAUCGCUGUAAUCGUGGAUCAGCACGCCACGGUGAAUACGUUCCCGGGUCUUGCACACACCGCCCGU